AGAGUUUGAUCCUGGCUCAGAGCGAACGCUGGCGGCAGGCUUAACACAUGCAAGUCGAGCGGGCGUAGCAAUACGUCAGCGGCAGACGGGUGAGUAACGCGUGGGAACGUACCUUUUGGUUCGGAACAACACAGGGAAACUUGUGCUAAUACCGGAUAAGCCCUUACGGGGAAAGAUUUAUCGCCGAAAGAUCGGCCCGCGUCUGAUUAGCUAGUUGGUGAGGUAAUGGCUCACCAAGGCGACGAUCAGUAGCUGGUCUGAGAGGAUGAUCAGCCACAUUGGGACUGAGACACGGCCCAAACUCCUACGGGAGGCAGCAGUGGGGAAUAUUGGACAAUGGGCGCAAGCCUGAUCCAGCCAUGCCGCGUGAGUGAUGAAGGCCCUAGGGUUGUAAAGCUCUUUUGUGCGGGAAGAUAAUGACGGUACCGCAAGAAUAAGCCCCGGCUAACUUCGUGCCAGCAGCCGCGGUAAUACGAAGGGGGCUAGCGUUGCUCGGAAUCACUGGGCGUAAAGGGUGCGUAGGCGGGUCUUUAAGUCA
rnacentral:rRNA from 1 species